AAGUGGGGAUGACGUCAAGUCCUCAUGGCCCUUAUAGGUGGGGCUACACACGUCAUACAAUGGCUGGUACAAAGGGUUGCCAACCCGCGAGGGGGAGCCAAUCCCAUAAAGCCAGUCGUAGUCCGGAUCGUAGUCUGCAACUCGACUACGUGAAGUCGGAAUCGCUAGUAAUCGUGGAUCAGAAUGUCACGGUGAAUACGUUCCCGGGUCUU
rnacentral:rRNA from 1 species